UACGGAGGGUGCGAGCGUUAUCCGGAAUUAUUGGGUUUAAAGGGUGCGUAGGCGGAAAUUUAAGUCAGUGGUGAAAGCCUGCAGCUUAACUGUAGAAUUGCCAUUGAUACUGAAUUUCUUGAAUCUAAUAGAAGUAGGCGGAAUAUGACAUGUAGCGGUGAAAUGCUUAGAUAUGUCAUAGAACACCGAUAGCGAAGGCAGCUUACUAUGUUAGUAUUGACGCUAAUGCACGAAAGCGUGGGGAGCGAACAGG
rnacentral:rRNA from 1 species